rnacentral:lncRNA from 1 species
UGGAAUACUGUGUUCCAGUAGGUGCCAGAGACUGACACUGAUUGGGAAUCUUAAAAAAAUAAGUGCAUCAAGUGUGUACGUCUGUUACUCCAUUUAUGUGUAAGUUAUGGGAUAGGCAGAUUUUCAGUAUACAAAAUUACARCAGCCUUCCCCUUUCUCACUCAUGCAGGAGCUGCAAAAUACCGCAUUGAUGCUUCACUUUGAUUUUGUUGGUGAGACUGUUGCACCACAUUUAUUUGGCUGUGGCUUCUCAUUCUCUGCCAACUGGAGUGCUUGCCCCUGCUGUCCUCAGAGGAAAGCUCUAGGAGACUCAAUGCUGCUGGCUGGAGUGCUGGAGGGUUCAGCCACAGGUUUUUUCCCUCUCUGCUUUGUCCCCUUUCYUCAUGGGACAUCUAGAUCUUCCUGCUAUCCCAAGACCACAUGCACAAAUGCCUUUACAGCUGUGACUUUACCUUCUGGCUGUGAUUCACUGAGCUGCAACACAGCUUACUCAAGAAGUGCUACUCAGCUGAGCCAGAGGCUUCAAACGGGAUGCUGGCAUAAUAUCCCUCAGCUCUACCUAGGAUGUUGCAUUCUGGUGGAYGGCUUAGAACUUGGUUUCCUCUCAGCUAGAUGAACCUUCGGUCUGAAGCAGUAUGCCUUGUCCAUACAGUCCUUCACUGGCAAGUUGCUUUGACCAAAAUGAACAGAGGUAUUUAAGGCUUCCAGCCGUUAUCUUGAUUAGACUUUGGAGGUUUUUACAUCUGGUGGGUACCUUUACAGUUUAAGAAGAUGAGCUAGACAGCUGGUAGUUUGUCUGGAGGAAGCAUUCUCUCUUUGCAACCCGAUAAAGCGAUAACCUGAUCUCAAGUAGUGCCUCUAGAUUCUACUCUGGAUUUUCAUUGCAUUGCUAUCUGCUGUUAGUUCUGGCUGUGAUGGAAG